AGUUGGAAAUUGUUUCCAUUAAGGCUCCUCUUUUUAUAUUAAAAGUUUUGCCUGUUUACCCCAUGUACACCUUAGCCCAAGCCCUGGGCCUGGUCUGCAUUGUAAAUGGGGAAACAUGG
rnacentral:snoRNA from 1 species